UGGGAGGGAGGAGCCAGCUGGGCCAGGGAGGAGGGUGGGAAGGGGAGGGGCCGCAGCCACGCACCACAAAGCUGUAGAGCUGCUCAGACUGUGUGCGGAAGUCAGCAGAACAGUCACCUAUGCAGAGCUCCACAGGCCCUGGCGGCGGGCUGGGCACCAAUGACUCCUCCAUCUCACACACGAUCCUAGGGAUCGGAGGAUGUCAGAGCCAGCUGGGGCAGACAGGCCUGGGCACCCGCACGGCCACACUCACCUCUCAGCACUGACAUACUCGGCCGGGAUGGAAUUGCAACGCACGCCAGCCACCCGCAGGCCCACCUCUCGGGAGGCGAGGCCCAGGUUCUCCCCCACGAUGGUGACCCGGGUGCCUCCCUCCUUGGGCCCCAUGAGAGGAUGGAUCUGCAGAGCAGGAUGGGAAGCAGGAGCGUCAGCCCAGACUCACAGGCGCCCAGGGGGCAGUGGGCAGGGGUGGUAAAGGGGGCUGACCUGGGCGAUGCGGGGGUGGCUGCACCGGGCACCUUUCUGGCUGGGGUGCAUCCAGUUGGUCUUGGGGGCCGGGCAGUGGGCCCGUAGCUGGCACCUGUGCUCUGAGAUGCACCAGCCGCAGUUGAAGCGGGGGUCGGCCUUGAGGCAGAGGCCACAGCUAGGCCGCUGUGCCCAGCACUUGUACAGGAGGGCUGCGGGCACAGGGGGCACUGCUGACGGAGGGGGCAGUGGCGGAAAAGUAGGGAGGGCAAGAGCCCCCCCCGACCUGGCCCUGGCAAUGCCAACUCUGCCUUGGGAGGCAGGCUCCCUGGCCGCACGCUGCCCCUCACCUCGGAAGCUGGGAGGCUUGUCAAUGGGGAAAUCUCCAUCCCAGACCACAGAGAAGUCCAGCUCAGUGUCACCAUACUCAUCGCCUUCAUAGGAGUACUGGCAGAAAGGGACCCACGUGACCCCAGGGCCACCGGAGGCUUCCAGACCCCUGUCACACCACAGCCUGGGCCCCCAAGGGGCAGGCGGGGCCUCACCGAGGUGUUCUGGCACUGCACGCUGCUGCUGUUGAAGCGCACAGCAGGCACUCGCUGCUGCCGCCCCUGCACCCGGACCACGCACUCGUAGUUCUUCUGGCCCGACUGCGGCUGUGGCAGGUUCUUAGCCCGCAGGGCCCAGCUGGCCCUGCCCAGCCUUGAGGAGGCUCAAAGAAACUAAGAAGUCAAACGCAGAAAAGCCAGAGGCCAGCCCGCACCACAGAGCCCGGUCCCCUCGCACGUGCCGCCCGCCUCACCUCAGGGCUGUGGACCCUGCCCUCCUGGAAGGAGCACUCGUGGGGGUGGCUGGUACACACGUGGCGGUACUUACACCAGUGGCAGGGGGGUAGGGACAGGUACUGGGCCUGGUACUUACGACUGGAAGACGCUGCAGUUGUAGAAGACAAAGUCAGCCCCAGCAAACCUCACGCCAGUCUCCUUGGAGAGCAGCUGCAGCCUCACGGUGCGGGUGGCCCCUGCAAUAAGCCCAGCAGUGGCCAUGAGCUGUCUGGGGGGCAGGGAGUGCCUUCCACUCCCCCCCAGACAGCCCCAGCCCACUGACCAUGCCCCUUGGUAAGAGCCCGGAGCUCCUGGAGAGAGGGCGAAAGGCAGCGCAGCUCGCCAGAGGGCAGCAGGAUGGCCUCGCUCUCCGUCACCUCCUCAAAGGCACAGCUCACACCCGCGCUGAGGUCUGGCACGUUGCGCGUGGCUACGGUCAGCUGGGGGAGGCAGACAGCUCAGAGCAGGGCGCACCCCCAGCACGCACACAUGGGCCCCAGCACCCUGUUUGCCACUCACCUGAACCCCAGGUGAUGUCACCGAAACAUUGUUGGGCCGGACCCGCACCUGGACGCACUUGCUCAGCUCUUCUGCAAAGCCGUGUGGGGCAGAGGCGCCUGGACAGGCCCCUUCACGGCAGCAUCUGUGGGGGGGCAGGGAGCCCAUCUGCACCCCGAGCCUGUACCUGCCGCCCUCACCUGUGCUGCAGCACGCACCAACCACAGUGUGGGUCCCCUGAGCCCAGGCAAGCUGCGCAGCUCAGGAGGUAGAUGUGCUGGUGGUCAGGGCUGAAGAGCAGGUCUCGGAGUAUGGGGCUGCCGUCCACCACAGGGACCGUCUCGUACAGACCAGGCGAGCAGGACGAAAGCACCAUGGCCGUCCUGAGCCCUGUCUCUUCAUAUCUGUGUGCCCCGGAGUUCACCCCCAGCCCCAGAACGGACGUGGCUGCAGCCCUGCCCCGCUUCCUAUGGGCAGAGCCGUGGCCCAGCCAGCACUGCAGCCCCAGUGUCCACAAGGGACCAGACCCAAAGGGAAGGAUUGUCAGGGGCAGAGGAAAAGUCCCCUCCAGGGUGGUGACAUUUAGGGUGAGAUGGGAAGGAGUUAGCCAGGGAGAGAGCAAGUGGCGAGCGGGCACCAGGGAUAGGAGGGCCGGUGGGGCAGCCAAGCACCCAGACCACAGUGCACAGGGUUACGGCCACGUCGGCUCCCUCAUUCAUUCAACUGAAGACCCAGCUCCUGUGGCAGGGAGACCCCACAAUAGGUCUGGUCUCUGUCCCCAGAGCCGCAGGAAGCUAGCAUUUCAGGCCACAGAAGGCAUUGGUGCUGGUGAGGGUGGAUGGCUGAGGGGCUUCUGGGACCCAGCCUGGGAAGCGUCCCUUCCCUGACCUACCAGUUGUGCCCUGUCUAGGGUGUCCCAGGGCUUAUCCAUGUGUUCCCACCAACCGCCUUGUCCCGUAUUCCAGAGACCAGCUCCAUCCCCAUAUGUUAAGGCUUCCAGAGCCCACCUUCUUCAGACUGCCACUGCGCGUGCCGAUGAAAACCACAGAGUGCUGGUGGUAGGUGUAGGCAGCCACGCUGGCCAUGCCGUCAGUGCUGUCAGCCAGCAGGGGCAGCCCCUCGAUCACAUGCAGGCCACCCAGUGGCUGGUUCAGCACCAGCCCACAGAAGUUUCCAUUGAUCUGCAUGGGCUGGCAAAACAGAGGAGGGAUAUGUAAGAGUCCAGUCCGGGUGCAAGCACACACCACUGGACAAAAGCCACCAGAUCUGUCCCAGAAGAGAACAGGGUCUGGAAUCCACUCCCUCCAUCCAGACCUGACUACCUGUCCUGGGACCCUGCGGGCAAGGGCACUUGGGGCCAGAGGAGGGAGAUGGAGGAGGGAACGCAGGGAGGAGUGCAGCUCAGGCUGCAGGACGCCCACGAGAUGCAGCACGGAGGAACCUGCUGGGAGUGGCUGGAGGGGCAGGGAGAGGGAGGUGGCAGUCUACAAGGAGGGCACUGGGCAAAAGAAAGACUGUAGGGAGGAAGGGCUGAGAGAGGGAGAGACAGGGCAGAGGUCCCUGAAAGGGAGAGAUGGGCUAUGGUGCCACUCCCAGGGUUAUGCCAAGCCUGGGACAGGACAGCCAGGUGUCAGCCCAGGCCAGGCACUGGCCUGGGGACAGCUGGGCUGAGUGAGGGACUCACGGUGUUUAUGCAGGGCAACUCCUUGUUCAGCAGCCAAGGCAGGGCCAGCGUGCCCUCCCCCCGAUAGCAGGACUGGAUGCGGCGCCGGAUGUGGGCGUUGAUGUUGCUGAGGGUAAAGAGGCAGAGGACGGUCUGCCUGGGCGGACUGACACGGUUCUUCUGGCCCUGAGAGAAGACGGUGAAGAGGACGUCCUCGUCGGCUGGCACACCCAGGGCCUGGGCCAGCAGCAGGCCGGGCUUGGCCAGGUGGGCGCUCUGCACCAAGCGGUACUCCACCCCACGCCAGGAGCAGCCGAUGGGGAACUCCACGUAUGAGUAGAACUCCGAGUCCCCUGCACACAUGCGCACAAUUUUGGACGUGAAGAAUUUCUCGCCUGCUGUGUCCAGCAGCGUCUGCUGGGUGUCCAGCUGCAGCGUCAGGAAGUACACGAAGGAGGCGCUCACAAAGCCAUAGAUGUAGUAGAUGUCGAAGGCAGGGUACAAGGACAGUGUGUCUGAGGGGAUCUUGAUCUGAGAGGAAACGAACUCAUCCUGGUACACCUGGGGAGCAGGUCGUGGCGAGAGCAUAGGGUGAGGCCCUGGGCUGCCCCCCACCCCACCUUCACCCCAGCCCCAGCGCACUCCACCAGUGGCUUCCCUCAGGAUGCCCCACCUGCCCCGCCCGGGCCAGAAAGGCCAAAGAGGGCACGCUUGCGGGAGCUCAAGGUGGGGAAGUACUCCGACUUGCCGUCGACAGCGGUGCCCACAAACAACUUGCUGGGCCCCUGGCCCUGCUCUACAAUGACGCCAGCCAUGGAGUCAGGCUCCUGAGCCCCCGACAGGUAGUGCUCUUUGCGGUGGUGGGGCUCGCCCAGCUUGAAGAGGUCAUCCAGGCGCAGGAACUGGCAGAUGCCCUGCCAGGUACUGCCACAGGCCACCAGGCGGUGGGCUGCGUAAUCUAUGAGCAGCAGUUUGUUCACGUUGUCCACGGGUGCCAGGCGGUGGACACAUACACGCAUACUGGGGGGUGGGUAGCAGCUAGCAUUGUCCUCGACAGGCCCGGUGACGUGGGCCCGCAGCUCGGUCAAGUUGGGGGCCAGCUUAAAGACACGGUUCACUGCACCCACGAACACCUCUCCAGUCACUCGGUGCACAGCCAGGUGGGUGAGCGUGGUGUCUGUCACCACGAAGGCACGGAAGGGCCUGCUGUUGCCCAGGGCCCCACCAACGGCAAGGAAGAGCAGCUGGAGGAGGAAGACGGCAGGCAUGGCCAGCAGCUGCACCUGGGGACAAGCCUGAGAAGAGAUGGCAAGUGGGAGUCAGAGACCCCAGGCCCAGGCUGCCUGUCCUCCUCCUGUGCUGCCCAGCCCAGGGCCCCCGGCAGGCUGAGCUCCAAGCAACAGAGGGCCAGGAGCCACCACCACACCAGAGCCCCAGAUGGUGACCAUGGCUGGGAGAGAGGAGGGGCCUCCACCAGGGCGCAUCAAUCACCCCUCAUCCCCUGUGCUAGAGAGGAGCCAGGAGGCCUCGCCUCAGCUGGGCCACACCCAAGGGGGUGGCAGAGCCAGAUGCUCAGAAAGGCAGGCCGAGAGGCCCUCCUGGAACUGAGAGCCUAGCGACACAUCCAGGAGCUGAGGUCAGAGCUGAGGUCGCCAGCUGCACAGAGCAGCAAUCACAGGGAAGCCUCAGGCCGCAGAGAUGCCCCCGCCUGAGCUGAGAGAAGGGGAGAGGCAGGGAGAGAAUCAGCAUAGCUGGGGGAGGGGAGUGGGGGCAGGGACACCACCCCUGAGUGGCACUGCGACCAGAAGCCCAGGACAGAGGUCUGGGGCAUCAAGGCCUGAAGCUAGACCCAGCACCACCACAUCCCCGCAGGGGGCCAGCUGCCUCUUGGCCCCAAGGGCCUUCCGCUGGCUGUCCAGGAGUCUGCUGUCUGGCCUCCCCGCUGCAACACAAAGCCGACUCGCCUGCCCCCACAGCCACGUGCCAAGACAGACAUAAGUCAAGCUCUGCUCAGGCACAGCCAGAUAGUGCCCAGCAGCCCCGCACGGCUCACUCCGGAUCCAGAGGUCUGUCUCCUAGACCUCUAAUGCAACAGCAGGAGAAGAAAGGCAGGCAAAAGAGAAGAGAGGCCACAUCCUGCUCUCACCUUUUCCACACUUCCAGGAAGCCAAGCUUAGGAACAGGCUGGGGACAGGCCACCAGAGAGACCUGGAGAGGCAGGAUUUGCAGCCCAAGACCCCACCCCAGCCCCCACCUCCAGGUUGUCCUGCAGCCAGCCCAGCGGUAUCUGCACGUGCUGUACCCUCUGCCUGGAACCCCGUCCUCCCAGGGACAUAGGGUCUUCCCAGAAAGUAGGUCCGCCCCUACCAGGCUCCGAGAUUGGUCCUCAAGGAGCUUGUUUUCCAGAAGCUGCAGGGCUGAAGGCAGCUCCGCUGGAAACCAUCUGCCACUGGCUGAGCUGGCUGAGAGGGGCUCCCUUUCCCCAGGAAGCCUGCUCUUCUGGUGGCUUCUGAAAGGAGAGGAAGGGGUUGGCACACAGGACCAGACAAUCCCCCCCCCGGGGCUCCUGGGAGCCCAACAAAAGGCCCCAUUGAGGUCCUCAAACUUGUGUCUCACAUCUGGGACACAGAGUGAGGCCCGGCCACCCUCUCCUUGCUGCUCCCUGGCCUAAUCUACCCUCUUCCCUCCUCCAAGUGACCCCAGAUGGCCCCACCCCAGACACCGGGCCAGGAAGCCCCCGUGAGGGCUCCUAGCUUGCAGCCAGGCCUCCCCAGGCCACACCGAAUGGGACACAGGGCCUCUGUGCUGAGCACAGCCCACCACCUGCCACCAUCGGAUCUCCACAUGUGCCAGGGAUGUGGGGCCAGCCCCAGAGCUAGGGUGCUGCUGGCCAGUGAAGGGCUGUCCGCUGUCCCCUCUGCUUGGCCUCAAGCAACGGAA